CGGCGAGUGAAGCGGGAUGAGCUCAAAUUUGAAAGCUGGCACCUUCGGUGUCCGCAUUGUAAUCUCGAGAAGUAGUUUCUGUGUUGGGCCAUGUACAAGUUCCUUGGAAUAGGACAUCAGAGAGGGUGAGAAUCCCGUACUUGACAUGGAUUCCAAUGCUUUGUGAUCUGCUCUCUAUGAGUCGAGUUGUUUGGGAAUGCAGCUCAAAAUGGGUGGUAAAUUCCAUCUAAAGCUAAAUAUUGGGGAGAGACCGAUAGCGAACAAGUACCGUGAGGGAAAGAUGAAAAGCACUUUGGAAAGAGAGUUAAACAGUACGUGAAAUUGUCAAAAGGGAAGCGCUUGAGGUUAGACAUGCAUGCAGUAUUCAACCUUUCUUUUGAUGGGUGUAUUUGCUGUUUUGCAGGCCAGCAUCGGUUUUGUCUGCUGGAUAAUGGUAGGAGAAAUGUGGCAUCCUCGGAUGUGUUAUAGUCUCUUACUUGAUACAGUGGAUGGGACUGAGGACCGCAGUGUGCCGUAAGGCAGGCUCUUCGGAGUACUUUCACACUUAGGAUGCUGGCGUAAUGGCCUUA
rnacentral:rRNA from 1 species